UUGGAAGACGUGGUGCUGUUGAAACGGU
rnacentral:piRNA from 1 species